GGGCAAAUGGCCGAGGCUAGGCGGUAAAUUGUAAAUUUACCCACGAAUUCUAUUCUUUGCCCA
rnacentral:tRNA from 1 species